rnacentral:tRNA from 3 species
UUAUAAGAAAUGAUUUAAUCAUAUAUGAUUUCGACUCAUACUUAGAUGUUAUACAUCCUUAUAAU